rnacentral:tRNA from 1 species
AGUCCCUGUAGUAUAUUAAUUAUUCUGGUCUUGUAAGCCAGCGAAGAGGAAAAC